rnacentral:sRNA from 1 species
AAGACCCAAGGAUUGGUCAUCUUCAGGACGAAGAUUUCGAUUGUUCAGGAUGAAUGGUCGGCAAGGAGAGCAAAGGACGUUAGCUGGACGCUUAAUAACUAGGAUGGUUAUAAACGGAGAGUUAAUGGACAACUUAAUGGACUAAGCGAGUUCUGUCAGGAUGGCAGAGGAAGGGACACCGCUAGGAAGGCGAUGAAACGGAUUGUGCUGAAGGACACAGCAGACUAUCAAGGAAUAGAUGCAGGGAGCACCUAUUAGUAGCGGGAUUGCUGCGAGUGAGAACUGAACCCCACUAAGCUUAGG